GAUGAACGCUGGCGGCGUGCCUAAUACAUGCAAGUAGAACGCUGAAGGAGGAGCUUGCUCUUCUGGAUGAGUUGCGAACGGGUGAGUAACGCGUAGGUAACCUGCCUGGUAGCGGGGGAUAACUAUUGGAAACGAUAGCUAAUACCGCAUGACAACAGUUAUUGCAUGAUAACUGUUUAAAAGGGGCAACUGCUCCACUACCAGAUGGACCUGCGUUGUAUUAGCUAGUUGGUGAGGUAACGGCUCACCAAGGCGACGAUACAUAGCCGACCUGAGAGGGUGAUCGGCCACACUGGGACUGAGACACGGCCCAGACUCCUACGGGAGGCAGCAGUAGGGAAUCUUCGGCAAUGGACGGAAGUCUGACCGAGCAACGCCGCGUGAGUGAAGAAGGUUUUCGGAUCGUAAAGCUCGGUUGUAAGAGAAGAACGAGUGUGAGAGUGGAAAGUUCACACUGUGACGGUAUCUUACCAGAAAGGGACGGCUAACUACGUG
rnacentral:rRNA from 1 species